AAAAAAAGAGCUCCCACCCUCUGCCCCGUCGCGCGCACACACACACACACACACACACACACACACACACACACACACACACACACACACACACACACACACACUGAGAGCACUAAUGUCUCUGUGGCAGUAAUAGUCUCUCCCUCACAAACACACACACACACACACACACACACAUAUACACAUACACAAAAAACACACACAUACACACAUAUACACACAUACACAAAAAACACCCACACCCACAGACUCACACACGCGCCCACACAAAAACACACACAGACACACGCACGCACACACACUGAGAGGACUGAUCUCAGGACUGAUCAGAUCUCCCGACUCCCAUAGUUAGAUAAGCACAUUUAUUAUUUGAAAUGUAUAUAAAAUACCUAUUGAUGGUUAAUAUUUGUAUAUUUUCAGACCUCACCAGUUUUGGUCUUAAGGGCUAAACACAUCGACGCCGAAGCGGCACGUCAAUAAGUCAGCCCCCAUUAUUCCGGGUGUACUAGCCCACACCGGCGCCGCCUAGCCGCGUGGCCAACUAGGCUUCACGCCAAUGUUCUGUUCCCUAGCGUCGCCGCCCCUGAAAACGCGCUUUUUAAAAGCUGGUUUGUACAUCCCGGGUCCCGUAGGCACCUCCAUAUCUACCCCUCAUCACUGGAUGUCGCCCUCUUUCUUUUCUACUUUCACUGCGCAGAUUAUACAUUUUUCAAAUUAUUCAGCGAAAAAAGAUUGAAAAUAAAUAAACUGGGCUGCAAUAGGCUACUCACCCAUUGCGUUUCGUCUCUCUGUUGUGGUUGAUUGACAGGUGACUUCCUGAUUUUACACUGCAGCGCGACUGUCGCGCCGCCUCCUGUUGGUGCUAGGGGCGGCUUUUGACGGGCGUGAAAUGCGCCCCGCUGCGCUUUGGCGCUGGUGUGUUUAGGCCUUCAAGGGCUCUGAUAUCAUUUUUGUCGUAAUCCUGAUUUACAACCUGAUUUAAAGCAGAUUCUAUAUUUUAUUCAUAAUAACCGAGAGGUCUAUGGGAUAAUAUUGCAUGUUGUCAAUUACUUAAGACUGAAUCUUGAUUUUUUGUGUUCUGUUGGGAAUCAAGCGGUCGCAGAACAUGUUCAGUUAUUAAAGAUACGUGCACACCUGUUGAUGAUUUGUAAAGUCUGCUGCUUCUAUUGUUUUAGUCCUCGUGUUUAUUGUGAUUCCAUAAGUGCCUUAAGAAUAAUAAUAUAUUGAUCAGAAAUUAUUAAUAGAACAACAAAAGUU